GGGUUGUGAGGUUAAGCGACUAAGCGUACACGGUGGAUGCCCUGGCAGUCAGAGGCGAUGAAGGACGUGCUAAUCUGCGAUAAGCGUCGGUAAGGUGAUAUGAACCGUUAUAACCGGCGAUUUCCGAAUGGGGAAACCCAGUGUGAUUCGUCACACUAUCAUUAACUGAAUCCAUAGGUUAAUGAGGCGAACCGGGGGAACUGAAACAUCUAAGUACCCCGAGGAAAAGAAAUCAACCGAGAUUCCCCCAGUAGCGGCGAGCGGACGGGGAGCAGCCCAGAGCCUGAAUCAGUGUGUGUGUUAGUGGAAGCGUCUGGAAAGGCGUGCGAUACAGGGUGACAGCCCCGUACACAAAAAUGCACAUAUUGUGAGCUUGAUGAGUAGGGCGGGACACGUGGUAUCCUGUCUGAAUAUGGGGGGACCAUCCUCCAAGGCUAAAUACUCCUGACUGACCGAUAGUGAACCAGUACCGUGAGGGAAAGGCGAAAAGAACCCCGGCGAGGGGAGUGAAAAAGAACCUGAAACCGUGUACGUACAAGCAGUGGGAGCACGCUUAGGCGUGUGACUGCGUACCUUUUGUAUAAUGGGUCAGCGACUUAUAUUCUGUAGCAAGGUUAACCGAAUAGGGGAGCCGAAGGGAAACCGAGUCUUAACUGGGCGUUAAGUUGCAGGGUAUAGACCCGAAACCCGGUGAUCUAGCCAUGGGCAGGUUGAAGGUUGGGUAACACUAACUGGAGGACCGAACCGACUAAUGUUGAAAAAUUAGCGGAUGACUUGUGGCUGGGGGUGAAAGGCCAAUCAAACCGGGAGAUAGCUGGUUCUCCCCGAAAGCUAUUUAGGUAGCGCCUCGUGAAUUCAUCUCCGGGGGUAGAGCACUGUUUCGGCAAGGGGGUCAUCCCGACUUACCAACCCGAUGCAAACUGCGAAUACCGAAGAAUGUUAUCACGGGAGACACACGGCGGGUGCUAACGUCCGUCGUGAAGAGGGAAACAACCCAGACCGCCAGCUAAGGUCCCAAAGUCAUGGUUAAGUGGGAAACGAUGUGGGAAGGCCCAGACAGCCAGGAUGUUGGCUUAGAAGCAGCCAUCAUUUAAAGAAAGCGUAAUAGCUCACUGGUCGAGUCGGCCUGCGCGGAAGAUGUAACGGGGCUAAACCAUGCACCGAAGCUGCGGCAGCGACGCUUAUGCGUUGUUGGGUAGGGGAGCGUUCUGUAAGCCUGCGAAGGUGUGCUGUGAGGCAUGCUGGAGGUAUCAGAAGUGCGAAUGCUGACAUAAGUAACGAUAAAGCGGGUGAAAAGCCCGCUCGCCGGAAGACCAAGGGUUCCUGUCCAACGUUAAUCGGGGCAGGGUGAGUCGACCCCUAAGGCGAGGCCGAAAGGCGUAGUCGAUGGGAAACAGGUUAAUAUUCCUGUACUUGGUGUUACUGCGAAGGGGGGACGGAGAAGGCUAUGUUGGCCGGGCGACGGUUGUCCCGGUUUAAGCGUGUAGGCUGGUUUUCCAGGCAAAUCCGGAAAAUCAAGGCUGAGGCGUGAUGACGAGGCACUACGGUGCUGAAGCAACAAAUGCCCUGCUUCCAGGAAAAGCCUCUAAGCAUCAGGUAACAUCAAAUCGUACCCCAAACCGACACAGGUGGUCAGGUAGAGAAUACCAAGGCGCUUGAGAGAACUCGGGUGAAGGAACUAGGCAAAAUGGUGCCGUAACUUCGGGAGAAGGCACGCUGAUAUGUAGGUGAAGUCCCUCGCGGAUGGAGCUGAAAUCAGUCGAAGAUACCAGCUGGCUGCAACUGUUUAUUAAAAACACAGCACUGUGCAAACACGAAAGUGGACGUAUACGGUGUGACGCCUGCCCGGUGCCGGAAGGUUAAUUGAUGGGGUCAGCGCAAGCGAAGCUCUUGAUCGAAGCCCCGGUAAACGGCGGCCGUAACUAUAACGGUCCUAAGGUAGCGAAAUUCCUUGUCGGGUAAGUUCCGACCUGCACGAAUGGCGUAAUGAUGGCCAGGCUGUCUCCACCCGAGACUCAGUGAAAUUGAACUCGCUGUGAAGAUGCAGUGUACCCGCGGCAAGACGGAAAGACCCCGUGAACCUUUACUAUAGCUUGACACUGAACAUUGAGCCUUGAUGUGUAGGAUAGGUGGGAGGCUUUGAAGUGUGGACGCCAGUCUGCAUGGAGUCGACCUUGAAAUACCACCCUUUAAUGUUUGAUGUUCUAACGUGGACCCGUGAUCCGGGUUGCGGACAGUGUCUGGUGGGUAGUUUGACUGGGGCGGUCUCCUCCUAAAGAGUAACGGAGGAGCACGAAGGUUGGCUAAUCCUGGUCGGACAUCAGGAGGUUAGUGCAAUGGCAUAAGCCAGCUUGACUGCGAGCGUGACGGCGCGAGCAGGUGCGAAAGCAGGUCAUAGUGAUCCGGUGGUUCUGAAUGGAAGGGCCAUCGCUCAACGGAUAAAAGGUACUCCGGGGAUAACAGGCUGAUACCGCCCAAGAGUUCAUAUCGACGGCGGUGUUUGGCACCUCGAUGUCGGCUCAUCACAUCCUGGGGCUGAAGUAGGUCCCAAGGGUAUGGCUGUUCGCCAUUUAAAGUGGUACGCGAGCUGGGUUUAGAACGUCGUGAGACAGUUCGGUCCCUAUCUGCCGUGGGCGCUGGAGAACUGAGGGGGCUGCUCCUAGUACGAGAGGACCGGAGUGGACGCAUCACUGGUGUUCGGGUUGUCAUGCCAAUGGCACUGCCCGGUAGCUAAAUGCGGAAGAGAUAAGUGCUGAAAGCAUCUAAGCACGAAACUUGCCCCGAGAUGAGUUCUCCCUGACCCUUUAAGGGUCCUGAAGGAACGUUGAAGACGACGACGUUGAUAGGCCGGGUGUGUAAGCGCAGCGAUGCGUUGAGCUAACCGGUACUAAUGAACCGUGAGGCUUAACCUUACAACGCCGAAG
rnacentral:rRNA from 1 species